rnacentral:rRNA from 1 species
GACGAACGCUGGCGGCGUGCUUAACACAUGCAAGUCGAACGCUGAAGCUCAGCUUUUGUUGGGUGGAUGAGUGGCGAACGGGUGAGUAACACGUGAGUAACCUGCCCCCUUCUUUGGGAUAACGCCCGGAAACGGGUGCUAAUACUGGAUAUUCACUGGUCUUCGCAUGGGGGUUGGUGGAAAGGGUUUUUCUGGGGGGGGAUGGGCUCGCGGCCUAUCAGCUUGUUGGUGGGGUGAUGGCCUACCAAGGCUUUGACGGGUAGCCGGCCUGAGAGGGUGACCGGUCACAUUGGGACUGAGAUACGGCCCAGACUCCUACGGGAGGCAGCAGUGGGGAAUAUUGCACAAUGGGCGCAAGCCUGAUGCAGCGACGCCGCGUGAGGGAUGGAGGCCUUCGGGUUGUGAACCUCUUUCGCUCAUGGUCAAGCCGCAACAAUGGUUGUGGUGAGGGUAGUGGGUAAAGAAGCGCCGGCUAACUACGUG